rnacentral:rRNA from 1 species
UUCGAGUCGUUGAUUUCACACUGCCGAGAAAAGCCUCUAGAUAGAAAAUAGGUGCCCGUACCGCAAACCGACACAGGUAGUCAAGAUGAGAAUUCUAAGGUGAGCGAGCGAACUCUCGUUAAGGAACUCGGCAAAAUGACCCCGUAACUUCGGGAGAAGGGGUGCUCUUUAGGGUUAACGCCCAGAAGAGCCGCAGUGAAUAGGCCCAAGCGACUGUUUAUCAAAAACACAGGUCUCUGCUAAACCGUAAGGUGAUGUAUAGGGGCUGACGCCUGCCCGGUGCUGGAAGGUUAAGAGGAGUGGUUAGCUUCUGCGAAGCUACGAAUCGAAGCCCCAGUAAACGGCGGCCGUAACUAUAACGGUCCUAAGGUAGCGAAAUUCCUUGUCGGGUAAGUUCCGACCCGCACGAAAGGCGUAACGAUUUGGGCACUGUCUCAACGAGAGACUCGGUGAAAUCAUAGUACCUGUGAAGAUGCAGGUUACCCGCGACAGGACGGAAAGACCCCGUGGAGCUUUACUGUAGCCUGAUAUUGAAAUUCGGCACAGCUUGUACAGGAUAGGUAGGAGCCUUUGAAACGUGAGCGCUAGCUUACGUGGAGGCGCUGGUGGG